GAUGAAGAACGUAGCGAAAUGCGAUAAGUAGUGUGAAUUGCAGAAUUCAGUGAAUCAUCGAAUCUUUGAACGCACAUUGCGCCCCUUGGUAUUCCAUGGGGCAUGCCUGUUCGAGCGUCAUUUGUACCUUCAAGCUCUGCUUGGUGUUGGGUGUUUGUCUCGCCUCUGCGUGUAGACUCGCCUCAAAACAAUUGGCAGCCGGCGUAUUGAUUUCGGAGCGCAGUACAUCUCGCGCUUUGCACUCAUAACGACGACGUCCAAAAGUACAUUUUUACACUCUUGACCUCGGAUCAGGUAGGGAUACCCGCUGACCUUAAGCAUAUCAAUAAGCGGAGGA
rnacentral:misc_RNA from 1 species